rnacentral:rRNA from 1 species
GUCCACGCCGUAAACGAUGAAUACUAGGUGUCGGGCGUCAAAACUCGGUGCCGCAGCUAACGCAUUAAGUAUUCCGCCUGGGGAGUACGCACGCAAGUGUGAAACUCAAAGGAAUUGACGGGGACCCGCACAAGCAGCGGAGCAUGUGGUUUAAUUCGAAGCAACGCGAAGAACCUUACCAGGUCUUGACAUCCUCUUGCAAGCAUCUUAGCCGAUGCCCUCCUUCGGGACAAGAGAGACAGGUGGUGCAUGGUUGUCGU